rnacentral:rRNA from 1 species
AAUUCCUACAACGUUAACGCACCAGAUCCCAUUAGAACUCUCCAGUUAAGUUCGCUUGGGCUAGAGCAGUACUAGGAUGGGUGACCUCCCCGAAAGUUCUCUCAUGGGAAUUG